rnacentral:rRNA from 1 species
AUGGUGGACGGAAGGAGUUCUCAGAGGGAGAAGGGGAAGGAGAUGGCGGAGGAACUUUUAGCCCGUCUCACCUUGCAGGAGGAAGAAGAUGAUGAUUUCGUAUGGGAAGAGGAGCUCCCGGAUAUGAUGGACUCGGCAAGGUGGCUGGCGAUUGUGAGGGUUCAUACAGCAAGAACUUUCAGCCCUAACGCAGUGUAUGGGGACAUGAGGGCAGCCUGGAAUCCGGCUAAGAUGGUAGUCUAGAGGAAGAUCAAAGAGAACUUAUUUAUGGCACAGUUCGGCUGUCUUGCAGAUUGGAAG